rnacentral:rRNA from 1 species
CCUUACCAGCCCUUGACAUACCGGUCGCGGACACAGAGAGGUGUCUUUCAGUUCGGAUGGACCGGAUACAGCUGGUGCAUGGCUGUCGUCAGCUGGUGUCGUGAGAUGAUGGGUUAAGUCCUGCAACGAGGGCAACCCUCGCCUUUAGUUGCCAUCAUUUAGUUGGGCACUCUAAAGGGACUGCCAGUGAUAAGCUGGAGGAAGGUGGGGAUGACGUCAAGUCCUCAUGGCCCUUACGGGCUGGGCUACACACGUGCUACAAUUGUGGUGACAGUGGGCAGCAAGCACGGGAGUGUGAGCUAAUCUACAAAAGCCAUCUCAGUUCGGAUUGCACUCUCAACUCGACUGCAUAACUGGCAUCGCUUAUGUUCACGUCCCUCCACCUGC